AACGAACGCUGGCGGCAUGCCUAACACAUGCAAGUCGAACGAGACCUUCGGGUCUAGUGGCGCACGGGUGCGUAACGCGUGGGAAUCUGCCCUUAGGUACGGAAUAACUCAGGGAAACUUGUGCUAAUACCGUAUGAUGUCGAGAGACCAAAGAUUUAUCGCCUAGGGAUGAGCCCGCGUAGGAUUGGCUAGUUGGUGGGGUAAAGGCCUACCAAGGCUACGAUCCUUAGCUGGUCUGAGAGGAUGAUCAGCCACACUGGGACUGAGGCACGGCCCAGACUCCUACGGGAGGCAGCAGUGGGGAAUAUUGGACAAUGGGCGAAAGCCUGAUCCAGCAAUGCCGCGUGAGUGAAGAA
rnacentral:rRNA from 1 species